GUUGUCAAAAAUAUCACCCUAACCACUGAUGAAACUAAAAAGGUAGAAUCUGUGGUAGACUCCAUUUUGGAUACUGCAAGUACACCUGUAGGUCAAUCAGCAGUGUUAUCCCAAGGAAAUGAAGACAUUUUAUCUCAAGCUAACUCAGCUACAUUACUAGCUGACUGUGCAGAGGAAGCACCGACAUCUUGCAAUAAAGAAACUGGGGGAAAAAAUGCCUGCAGAAAUGGUCCUGUGGACAUUUUUUAUUGUUCAAGGCAAUGGAUUUAUUGACAAAUGGAAUCUCCUUUUCCGGUCAGAGAGUCCAUCACAAGCAUUUUUUGAUCAUAAUUAAUUGGCUCUUAAUUGUUUUGAAGGCCUUAUCACCAUCUUCUUGGGGUGAUAUAUACUUGACAUAUAUGACAACAUGU